rnacentral:rRNA from 1 species
GUGGGGAAUAUUGGACAAUGGGCGAAAGCCUGAUCCAGCCAUGCCGCGUGUGUGAAGAAGGCCUUUUGGUUGUAAAGCACUUUAAGCGAGGAGGAGGCUACUCUAGUUAAUACCUAGAGAUAGUGGACGUUACUCGCAGAAUAAGCACCGGCUAACUCUGUGCCAGCAGCCGCGGUAAUACAGAGGGUGCAAGCGUUAAUCGGAUUUACUGGGCGUAAAGCGCGCGUAGGUGGCCAAUUAAGUCAAAUGUGAAAUCCCCGAGCUUAACUUGGGAAUUGCAUUCGAUACUGGUUGGCUAGAGUAUGGGAGAGGAUGGUAGAAUUCCAGGUGUAGCGGUGAAAUGCGUAGAGAUCUGGAGGAAUACCGAUGGCGAAGGCAGCCAUCUGGCCUAAUACUGACACUGAGGUGCGAAAGCAUGGGGAGCAAACAGGAUUAGAUACCCUAGUAGUCC